GGUAAAGUGGCUGAAAUAUAAGCGGUAGAUUGUAAAUCUACAUAUGGAGAAUAAUCUCUUUAUCA
rnacentral:tRNA from 1 species